UUGACGUUUUGCUUGCUUACUGAAGGUACUGCCUACUGCAGGAGGGUCUGGGAUGGUCCACUGACGGGCGAGCCCGCCGAGGAAACAGGGGGUACUCGUGAACAAAGGGUGCUAUCCCAACGGAGACGGGGUCUCCACGGUAAUGAUCCUUCCGCAGGUUCACCUACGGAAA
rnacentral:misc_RNA from 1 species